UGAUAAUAAUUUCUCCUACAGGCGACGCAGCACGCAGUACAGACAGUGGUCUCUUCCUUCCUCGACAAAAAGGAAAUUUACUUUGUAGGGAACAAAUGGCAAUGUCAGUAGUGAAUUAAACAAUGAGAUUGAUGGAACAGCAAAGACAAUUUUUAAAUAACAUGUGAAUGGAUUUCUGAAAGUCAUUCGUCACUCUAGAAAGAAUUGAAAUGCAAUGAUUACCGCGCAUGAACAGCCUUAAAAGUAGGCCCAAAAACUUCGUAGUAAGCUCCACAACAGACUGAAAACAAUAGAAAGCUUGCUGCUUAAAGAAUCUCAGAGCGAAAACACCAUCAGUGAAAAGUUGCAAAAAACAGAGAACUUCCUACUUAUCUGGUGUGAAAUAGAUCCAAAUGAAAGCUUCGUAAAGACAUUUCCGAUCUGGGCGUGGCCUCGAUAUGCUGGAAAUUUUAUGUUAUGGAUAAUCAUGGAAAAAAGAUCGGUUUUGGGCGUAAAACAAACUUGCUCCACUGCUAUGGACAGAAACAUGGAAACAUCUAUGGUGGACGCAUAUGAUAUACAUAUCAU